rnacentral:rRNA from 1 species
AUUGAACGCUGGCGGCAUGCCUUACACAUGCAAGUCGAACGGCAGCACGGGAGCAAUCCUGGUGGCGAGUGGCGAACGGGUGAGUAAUAUAUCGGAACGUGCCCAGUCGUGGGGAUAACGUAGCGAAAGCUACGCUAAUACGCAUACGAUCUACGGAUGAAAGCGGGGGGAUCGCAAGACCUCGCGCGAUUGGAGCGGCCGAUAUCAGAUUAGGUAGUUGGUGAGGUAAAGGCUCACCAAGCCGACGAUCUGUAGCUGGUCUGAGAGGACGACCAGCCACACUGGGACUGAGACACGGG